rnacentral:rRNA from 1 species
GAUGAACGCUAGCGGCAGGCCUAACACAUGCAAGUAGAACGGUAACAGGAAUAGCUUGCUAUUCGCUGACGAGUUGCGAACGGGUGCGUAACGCGUAUGCAACCUACCCUUAACAGGGGGAUAGCCUUCCGAAAGGAAGAAUAAUAUCCCAUAAUAUAAUUGAAUGGCAUCAUUUAAUUAUUAAAGCUCCGGCGGUUAAGGAUGGGCAUGCGUGUCAUUAGUUAGUUGGUGAGGUAACGGCUCACCUAGACUACGAUGACUAGGGGUUCUGAGAGGAUUAUCCCCCACACUGGUACUGAGACACGGACCAG